UAAGGUUAAGUUAAUAAGGGCGCACGGUGGAUGCCUUGGCACUAGGAGCCGAAGAAGGACGUGACAAACGACGAUAUGCCUUGGGUAGCUGUAAGUAAGCGAUGAUCCAGGGAUUUCCGAAUGGGGGAACCCAACAGGUACUACCUGUUACCCACAUCUGUUAAGGAUGUGAGGAGGAAGACGCAGUGAACUGAAACAUCUAAGUAGCUGCAGGAAGAGAAAGCAAAAGCGAUUGCCUUAGUAGCGGCGAGCGAAACGGCAGGAGGGCAAACCGAAGAGUUUACUCUUCGGGGUUGUAGGACUGCAAAGUGGACUCAAAGAUUAUAGAAGAAUGAUUUGGGAAGAUCAGCCAAAGAGAGUAAGAGCCUCGUAUUUAAAAUAGUCUUUGUACCUAGCAGUAUCCUGAGUACGGCGGGACACGAGAAAUCCCGUCGGAAUCUGGGAGGACCAUCUCCCAACCCUAAAUACUCCCUAGUGACCGAUAGUGAACCAGUACCGUGAGGGAAAGGUGAAAAGCACCCCGGGAGGGGAGUGAAAUAGAACCUGAAACCGUGUGCCUACAACAAGUUCGAGCCCGUUAAUGGGUGAGAGCGUGCCUUUUGUAGAAUGAACCGGCGAGUUACGAUAUGAUGCGAGGUUAAGUUGAAGAGACGGAGCCGUAGGGAAACCGAGUCUGAAUAGGGCGCAUUAGUAUCAUGUCGUAGACCCGAAACCAUGUGACCUACCCAUGAGCAGGUUGAAGGUGCGGUAAGACGCACUGGAGGACCGAACCAGGGCACGUUGAAAAGUGCUUGGAUGACUUGUGGGUAGCGGAGAAAUUCCAAACGAACUUGGAGAUAGCUGGUUCUCUCCGAAAUAGCUUUAGGGCUAGCGUCGACAUUAGAGAUUCUUGGAGGUAGAGCACUGUUUGGGUGAGGGGUCCAUCCCGGAUUACCAAUCUCAGAUAAACUCCGAAUGCCAAAGAAUUAUGGUCGGCAGUCAGACUGCGAGUGCUAAGAUCCGUAGUCGAAAGGGAAACAGCCCAGACCACCAGCUAAGGUCCCAAAAUAAUUGUUAAGUGGAAAAGGAUGUGGGGUUGCACAGACAACUAGGAUGUUAGCUUAGAAGCAGCUAUUCAUUCAAAGAGUGCGUAAUAGCUCACUAGUCGAGUGACCCUGCGCCGAAAAUGUACCGGGGCUAAAACAAUUUACCGAAGCUGUGGAUACCUUUAUAGGUAUGGUAGGAGAGCGUUCUAUGUGUGGAGAAGGUGUACCGUGAGGAGCGCUGGAACGCAUAGAAGUGAGAAUGCCGGUAUGAGUAGCGAAAGACAGGUGAGAAUCCUGUCCACCGUAAGACUAAGGUUUCCAGGGGAAGGCUCGUCCGCCCUGGGUUAGUCGGGACCUAAGGAGAGACCGAAAGGUGUAUCCGAUGGACAACAGGUUGAUAUUCCUGUACUAGAGUAUGUAGUGAUGGAGGGACGCAGUAGGCUAACUAAAGCAGACGAAUGGAA
rnacentral:rRNA from 1 species